UACGUAGGGCGCAAGCGUUAUCCGGAAGUAUUGGGCGUAAAGAGCUCGUAGGCGGUUUGUCGCGUCUGCCGUGAAAGUCCGGGGCUCAACUCCGGAUCUGCGGUGGAUACGGGCAGACUAGAGUGAUGUAGGGGAGACUGGAAUUCCUGGUGUAGCGGUGAAAUGCGCAGAUAUCAGGAGGAACACCGAUGGCGAAGGCGGCCUACUGGGCCAGUACUGACGCUGAGCCGCGAAAGCCAGGGGAGCGAACGGG
rnacentral:rRNA from 1 species